rnacentral:rRNA from 1 species
GUAACGCGUGAGAACAUGCCUAUUGAUUGGGGACAACAGUUGGAAACGACUGCUAAUACCGAAUGUGCCGAAAGGUGAAAGAUUUAUCGUCAAUAGAUUGGCUCGCGUCAGAUUAGGUAGUAGGUGAGGUAAAGGCUCACCUAGCCUGCGAUCUGUACUUGGUCUGAGAGGAUGGCCAGGCACACUGGAACUGAGACACGGUCCAGACUCCUACGGGAGGCAGCAGUGGGGAAUUUUCCGCAAUGGGCGAAAGCCUGACGGAGCAAUACCGCGUGAGGGAGGACGGCUUUUGGGUUGUAAACCUCUUUUAUCAGGGAAGAAUCGAUGACGGUACCUGAUGAAUCAGCAUCGGCUAACUCCGUGCCAGCAGCCGCGGUAAUACGGAGGAUGCAAGCGUUAUCCGGAAUUAUUGGGCGUAAAGCGUCCGUAGGUGGCUUGUCAAGUCUGCUGUCAAAGCGUGCGGCUUAACCGCAUAAGGGCAGUGGAAACUGACGAGCUAGAGUGCGAUAGGGGUAACAGGAAUUCCCAGUGUAGCGGUGAAAUGCGUAGAUAUUGGGAAGAACACCAGCGGCGAAAGCGUGUUACUGGGUCUGCACUGACACUGAGGGACGAAAGCUAGGGGAGCGAAAGGGAUUAGAUACCCCUGUUCUCACGCGUUAUC